UUCUAGCUUCUGAUAGCCCCAGGCAUUCCUUGGCUUGUGGCAGGACGACUCCGAUCUCCGCUUCCGUCUCUACGUGGCCAUCUGCCCUCGUGUGUGUCUCCGCCUUCACAUGGUAUUUUCUCUUAUAAAGAUAUCGUCAUACUGGAUUACCCCUAUUGACCUUAAUUUGAUUAUAGUUGCAAAGCUCUUAUUUCCAAAUAAGGUCACAUUCACAGAUAUUGAGAGUUAGGAUUUCUAUGUAUCUUUUUGGGGGACAUAAUUUAACGAAUAAUGAGAAGCAUUUUCAAUUAGAGAGUUAUAUGUUAUUCUUUAAUAGCAUUCUUAACCAGACUUCAAGGACUGAGCUAAAACUCUUAAGAAGUCAGUACAAAUAGAAGACCUUUAGAAAGCAUUGGUUUGGUAUACUUUUAUUGUACAGUUAUAGGCUUAUAACACUGUCUUGGGGCUGUGAGGAAAGUACAAGCGAGGUUAGAGGGCAUUUUCUCUCCUACAGACUGGAACCUGGUGGAACCUGACUGCACGACGUGUUCUCAGCAGUGAACCAGGCCCCCCUGCCCUUGCCUGGAACAGGAAGACAGCAGGAAACCAGGCUUUGAGAGGAGAGAAGGAGGCCAAGAGGACUGUCCCUAGGUAUCUUGGAGGAACAGAAUCACUUGCCCGAUGCUGUGGUCUCUGCGACUCUAUAUUCAGAGCAUUUUCUUCUCUGCUCUGCCCAGUGCCAUCAAAGGGGUACACACCCUGGUGGAGCUUUAGGCAGAAAAGUCCAUUUCCAGAGUAAAUGCAAAUUGGUCUUGACUCUCUGGUGCAAUGGGGUUGCUGAAGAAGGUGUUGGCUACAUCGGUAACAAAAUGGCUGUCCAGUGAAAAGAAGAAAAGAAAUCCUAGCUAAAGAUUCAUUUGAACUUCUGAAUAGGAUUGUCUGAAGGAUGUAAAAUAUUUUACAAGGAAUUCCAGAAAGAUGAAUAACUCACACCAUGCCAAAAAUGUUACCUGACAUGAAAAAAUAUUAGAGGCCUUUCCAUUACUUCUGUGACCUUUGAAUGGAGAUGAAAGAUGGUUUGGACCCAUGCUAUCACAACCUGGUGCUGGACAUAGUAUCUGAUAGGCUGUAAUUCCAUCCCAUUUGAAGACGGGUGGGGAAUAUGUGUGACUGUUUAUCAUACAUCCAUUCAACCUCUUCAGACCAUGACAAUAUUUAGGAAAAAGAACACAGGUGAACCCCGAGGAGAUGAAUACACCUUUUUACAACAUGCUUAAUGUCUUCUAAAUAUUGCUUAGAAUAUUUAGAAUAUUGCUUUUCUUCAUCCCAUUUCUUCCACCAUUUUCCCAGUUUGGGCUAUCACAAUAGUCCCCUAGAUCAGGAUGAUAACCUCCU
rnacentral:lncRNA from 10 species